rnacentral:rRNA from 1 species
UACGUAGGGUGCAAGCGUUGUCCGGAUUUACUGGGCGUAAAGAGCGCGCAGGCGGUCGUUCAAGUCGCGUGUGAAAGCCCCCGGCUUAACUGGGGAGGGUCACGCGAUACUGAUCGACUCGAAGGCAGGAGAGGGUAGUGGAAUUCCCGGUGUAGUGGUGAAAUGCGUAGAUAUCGGGAGGAACACCAGUGGCGAAGGCGACUACCUGGCCUGUUCUUGACGCUGAGGCGCGAAAGCUAGGGGAGCAAACGGG